AGAGUUUGAUCCUGGCUCAGGAUAAACGCUGGCGGCGUGCCUAACACAUGCAAGUCGAACGGGAACCCUUGGAUUCGUCUGAGGGGGAGAGUGGCGUACGGGUGAGUAACACGUAGGUGACCUGUCCCGAAGGUGGGGAUAACUGUUGGAAACGGCAGCUAAUACCCAAUGUACUCAACGAUUCGGUUCGUUGAGUAAAGUCCCCGAAAGGGGUGCGCUUCGGGAGGGGCCUGCGGCCCAUCAGCUAGUUGGUAGGGUAAUGGCCUACCAAGGCGAAGACGGGUAGGGGACGUGAGAGCGUGACCCCCCACACUGGCACUGAGACACGGGCCAGACUCCUACGGGAGGCAGCAGUGAGGAAUAUUGCCCAAUGGACGCAAGUCUGAGGCAGCAACGCCGCGUGGGUGAUGAAGGCCUUCGGGUCGUAAAACCCUUUUCUGUGGGAAGAGAGAGGACGGUACCGCAGGAAUAAGCGUCGGCUAACUACGUGCCAGCAGCCGCGGUAAAACGUAGGACGCAAGCGUUAUCCGGAUUUACUGGGCGUAAAGAGCGUUGAGGCGGUUUCGUAAGUUGGACGUUAAAGCCCCGGGCUCAACUCGGGGAGGCCGUUCAAUACUGCGAGACUUGAGGACAGCAGAGGGGGGUGGAAUUUCCGGUGUAGUGGUGAAAUGCGUAGAUAUCGGAAGGAACACCAGUGGCGAAGGCGGCCCCCUGGGCUGCUCCUGACGCUGAAGGCGAAAGCUAGGGGAGCAAACGGGAUUAGAGACCCCGAUAGUCCUAGCUGUAAACGAUGGAUACUAGGUGUGGGAGGCGAAAAAACCUUCCGUGCCGUAGCUAACGCGUUAAGUAUCCCGCCUGGGGACUACGACCGCAAGGUUAAAACUCAAAGGAAUUGACGGGAGCCCGCACAAGCAGCGGAGCGUGUGGUUUAAUUCGAUGCUACGCGAAGAACCUUACCAGGUCUUGACAUGCAAGUAGUAGAGAAGCGAAAGCGGAACGACCCUUCGGGGAGCUUGCACAGGAGCUGCAUGGCUGUCGUCAGCUCGUGCCGUGAGGUGUUAGGUUAAGUCCUGUAACGAGCGCAACCCCUACUGUCAGUUAUACGUGUCUGACGGGACUGCCCGGCUCAACCGGGAGGAAGGUGGGGAUGACGUCAAGUCAGCAUGGCCUUUAUGACCUGGGCUACACACACGCUACAAUGGCCGGUACAAUGGGUAGCCAAGCCGCGAGGCGGAGCCAAUCCUCUAAAGCCGGUCUCAGUUCGGAUUGUAGGCUGCAACUCGCCUGCAUGAAGCUGGAGUUGCUAGUAACCGCAGGUCAGCCACACUGCGGUGAAUACGUUCCCGGGCUUUGUACACACCGCCCGUCACGUCAUGGGAGUCGGCAACACCUGAAGCCGGUGGGCUAACCGAAAGGGGGCAGCCGUCGAAGGUGGGGCUGGUGACUGGGACGAAGUCGUAACAAGGUA
rnacentral:rRNA from 1 species